GACGUAGGAUGCAAGCGUUGUCCGGAUUUAUUGGGCGUAAAGAGUUCGUAGGCGGUAUAUCAAGUCUGGUGUUAAAGCCCGAUGCUCAACAUCGGUUCGGCACUGGAUACUGGUAAGCUAGAGUGCAGUAGAGGCAAGGGGAAUUCCCAGUGUAGCGGUGAAAUGCGUAGAUAUUGGGAGGAACACCAGUGGCGUAAGCGCCUUGCUGGGCUGUUACUGACGCUGAGGAACGAAAGCCAGGGGAGCAAAUGGG
rnacentral:rRNA from 1 species